GGGGUUGUGGCUCAGAGGUAGAGCACGCACCUAGCAUCAGUGGAGCACUGGGUUCGAUCCUCAGCACCACA
rnacentral:tRNA from 1 species